AUGCAAGGAGAAGGGGAAGAAGGAGAGGAAAGAGCUCUGCAUGCAAAAUGUCUCCUGAACAAGACCAGGAACCUCCUGCUUGGAACAGAAGCCUCCUCUGACCCAGCUGCAUGCUGCUGCCAUUGGAAUGAUGUGGGAUACCGAGUGCUGUAUACAUUUCUGCCUAGCAAAAUCUGUUUAGAACAACCUACACAGAUCUGGAAACACAGUGCUGCACUUGGGGGAGAAAAAUUGCAUCUGUGGACUGCUGUCCCUGCCAGAUUACAGGAGUUUAUUACUCUUAGGGGAAAGCUUAAUAGUCUGUUAAUUGAGAAGACAGAAGAUCUUUUACACUUGGCUGCACACUAUUAUUAG
rnacentral:lncRNA from 1 species